ACUCAGAAUACACUGUGAUUCUGUGAUUUUUUAGAUUGUAAUUCAUCAGUAUUUGGAGGAGCCUUAAGCUUGUUGCGUUUCCACAUGGCCUACCAUUAGAGUAAAUAUCUAGAGCUUCCAUUGCAUUCGUGAAAUGUAAACAACAACUUUUACACUAAGAGUAAUAAAUACAGGAUAUAACAUACAAACUAAUGUUUGGCACAGUUGAAAUUUCUUUUAAAAUCAAUUUUAUUAAAAAGCAGUUAUAGCCUCCUCAGAUACCCCUUCACACGGGUAACUUUACUAGACAUUUAAGGUAUGACAUAACUCAUUAAAUACAUUAAAGAAGAGAAGUUUUAGGUAGUUUUUCUGACAGCUGCUUUUUUCUCCUCAUAAAUGUACUAUACGAACACCAUUCAUGAUCCAUGCAUACUCAGCCACGUGCCUCUGCUACCCAGUGAUUGUUCUCCCAGUGCUCCUGCUAUUGUGUGGCUCUCCAUAACUCAGCCACAGACUUGUGCUGGAGGAUGGCAACACACGGCUCUGAACACAGAGCUGUUUGAACAGCUCCUGUGGCAGCGGGGUGCCUGGCCCCUUGCAGUCGUGCCUUUGAGCCGCAGCGGCGCCGGCUGCGGCAAUAAAAGUCCAAAGGAGGGAGUGGAGCCUGCAUCCCUCCACAGCCCCGUGUACAGGGAGCUGCGGCUUCCCGUCUCAUAGGAAGUGCCCACUCUGUGACCUGUAGUUUCUGCUGUCUGAACGGCUGUCUCUGAGCUUCCUGCAGCAAAACAAAACGGCACUGAAAGUGUCUCUCUCUUCCUUUUGUUUCACUAUUUUCCUUCCACGGGGGGUCUCUGAACUUGUGUGCCCAGCUGGAAUUAAUACACCCAGAGACUCUGCAGAGAAGACUGGGGAAGUGGAGGAGGCCCAGGGGGGUGGUGUGAGUAUUCGUUGUUGAUAUACACAUAAAUCAGAACCAGCGUAUCACUCCAUUGGAUGUCUGAGGCACAUCAAGGACAAAGGAACCUCAGUUUUUGACCCUCUGCUCCAAACUUUUAUGUGCCUGGUCUCCAGACUUGUAUCAACAGCCCUUGGCAUAAGUAGCAACAAAUGCCAAGGAGAGAAAGGCAGAUCCUUCUGCAGCUCAACAUAAGCCAGAAUGGAUUAUAGGCAGGCUGAAAGGACUUGCUUAUAUCUAUCAACCGGAGCUUCAGAGCUGGCAGAUCUUUGUGGAAGAGUCUGAGGCAAGGGUGAGGAGCAGCUUGGCACCAGCUGGUGAGUAACCCAGCAGUAUAUUGCCCUGGUCAAACAACCCACUGCUGCAUCUGUAUCACAAGCAAGCAUCUGUAUCACAAGCAAGAAUCUGGCUUCUGGAUUGCCCCUCUCCAGUGCAAGGCAGAUAUCAAGAGAAAUGGGGAAGGAGACAUGCCAGGGUUUUCUCCAGACAGUCUUCUGAGAAAGUCUACCUUCUUGUGCAAAGAGAGAUAUACUUCAAAGGCUGAUUAUGGUGGUUGGGACUACUGGACUUUCCAACAUCACAAUAUUCUAAAAAUACCACUGAAAACCUUGACUGUCCAUGUGGAAAACAACAGACACUCGAACUCUUGGAACAAGGUGUAAAGUUUGCCCUCAGACCUAUCCAGUCUGGAAUUGCCUUGAAGUCACUUUCAACUUGCAGAUUACGAAAGUGACAAAGGGUCCAAUGGAAAGAGAUAGACCUGCUCUACUUAAUUGGCAUCUCCCUACCAGAAGUAUUUCAGGAAGUCUCGAACUGCAGGGGGAUGAGACUGGAGGCUGGUUUUGUGCUUCAUUUUGUUCUCCGCAUCCCUAUUCCUGAGUCAGUAAAGGCUGAAGCUUUUCAACACAGUAUCCUUUGAAGGAGCUCAUCCUCAAAUUGACAAUGUUCCACCUAGCAUUAAUUUAACAUUUAACUCAUUGGAAAAACCUGUUACAAAAAAAGGCUGCAGGGGGGAUACACAUUAAAGCGCUAAUAAUGAAAAUUUCUUUUUUAAACUAGGAUACCUGGGAGCAAGCCCACAGAGCCAACAAGAAACAGAAGGCCACAUCCCAGGUCCACUGCAGAAUAUCAGUGACUGUGUCCCCAAAAGUGCCUUCUAGGCUGACCCUGUGCCCUUGGAUCCCGUGUCCCCUGGCAGCCGGAGCGCAGGAACAGCAGGGCCCCGCAGGGUCCCUGGCUGCUGCCUCCCUGCCGCCCGUGACGCAUGCACCCGGGUGUAGCAGGCCAGGGGCGUUUGCUUGCUUUUCUAGGGAUUCCUGUGUGUCAUUGCCCUCUGAGAGUGAGAAAUGAGGCUGUGUAAGUUACUAGAUAUUGUUCCCUUAUAAAAUAUUUAUUUCCUUACACACAUAAACCCCUUUCUCUUUUACAUCUACCUAGUCGAAGCCCUGUGGAAGGGAGUAUUUCAUCCUAAGAAGCCAUCAAGAUAUCAUUGCAUUGGUUCAUUUUGAGACCUGCUGAACAAAGUUCUACACCCUUCAGAAGUCCCGUAGAAAAAUACUCAUUUUGAGCAGCUUCUCUGAUUUCUCAGAAUUCUCCCAAAUCCCAUUCAUUCAGCCAGAGCUGAUCCUGGGCAACACUAAGCAACUUCUUAAAAACUACUGCCUGUUAUGUGUUGCUGCUGACAUUAAUUGGACACAGCAAAUUUAGCUCUUGCAAAUUUGAUACCAUAUAGUGCAGUCUGCAGCUUUCAGAAGCGUUGACUAAUUGACUGAGAAUUUCUCAAAGCAUAUGUAGUUUACUAAGCAGAACUAGAAAAAAAUUGUGGAUUUCAGGAAGGCCUAUUUGCUUACACCCUGUGCUGCGUAGGAAUGCCAAAUGGAAAGUUUAUUGCCAUACCUACAGCAAGAUCUCUGCCUGAUAUUGGCUUCUCAGGAAGUUUAGUGGCAGCUGUGGUCUCGUGACAUCAUCUCUGGUGUCACUUACUGCUAAUAAAACAAUUGUGCUACUCAGUCUGUGGCUUGCACAAAAUUUAGGACAACUCAGUGCUUUAGCCUGCAACAAUGGAUGGAGACCAAGUCAGACGAAAACUCUGUAUUUAGUUAUAAAAAAUGUUUUUUCCUGAUCUAUCCUUUUUUUUACUUUUUCCCAAAUGAACAUGUAUUGACUGUCCCUACUGCUUGCUGAGGCAGGCGAGUCUGAGCCACAGCAGGGCACCCCACUGUGUCUGGGUUUGGGGGUGAGGGCACUUGCUUGGAUAUGCUGACUCCUUUCAACCUGUAGGCUAUUAGCACUUGUAACUCACCCUUUAAUUUCUCUCUGGGUGAUUUUUUGCAGUUUGUGCUUCUCAAGUGCCCUCAGGAGCACAGAAAUCUGCUGCUCAGCUGUCAGCCAAGUUCAUGAAUAUUUGCACCUCUCAGACUCCUCUUCAAUAGGGUAUAGCCAGACAGGCUUCAUAGUUCUGCUGGGAACAAUCGCUGUUAAAACUCUUCUGUUUGAAGGCUUCUUCCCAGUUCUAUGGGCUCUGAUUAUGUCUUUUUCAGUACAUUAUCUCACUGUAAUAGCUUCUUUGGGGCCAUUUCUAGCUCUUGAAUGGAUUAUCAUGCUAUCAUUAGGCGAGACACCACAUAACCCCUCUCUGAUGACUGUGUCACUUUGAAAAUCCUGAGUUACUGUUAAACGUGAAACCUGUGUUGUAUACACAGAACACUAAGUUAUAAGCUUUUUAGCUUCUGUGAAUAAGUUUUUGUACUACUUGAGAUUAUAAAAUAAAGUGUUUUGGUUGUAAACCAUUGCUUUGUCAUGCUAGCACAGAUUCAAAAUGACAGGCAGAAACUUAAGCACAAAAGGCUGCAGAGAUUUACAUAUGGCAUCUGUACAAGGCACUCUUACCCUUUCUCUGAUGACUAUCACUGAUAUUAAAUGUCAAUAGGAUUGUACUUCUACUAGAUAUGGCUUUUAAUUAAAGUCUUCUUUCCAGAUUUUUCACAACAAUUCAGCUAGAAAAGGCUUUUCUUUUCCAAGGAUGAUUUUUCAUGUCUAGAAUUUAGUGCCACAGCACAAUACCCAAGCCCUUUCUGCUAAGUAUGGUAUUCUUUGUCACUACUGAGUGUCUGCAUUCUUAAAGUUUACUUGUUGCUGUUUUCCAGAAACUGUCAAGUCCUCAGUUGCCCACAAUGGGACUUAAUACAAGUUUCUCUACAACCUCUACAGUAAUGGCUUAGAGCACUACAAUUCUUAACAACACAGUCCUAGGGUUUCAGAUAGCAAUGUGACAGCAUUAAAUCUGGCACUGAUUCUUAAUGGAAACAGUUAAGGUCUCAUUUUUAACUUUGAAGAGGAUGAUUCCUUCCUGCCAUGAUCCAAUACCUAGUUUUUCAAAAUCUUGCCAGUUACUUACAUUUUUUUGUUUGAAAUUGCUGUUGUAAAGGUGAAGACUCUUGAAAUAAUGACUAUGAUACAACUUUUAAAAAUCCCUCAAGUAGUUAGUUAAUUAUAUUCCUGGAGAGAUGGAGUAAUAGCAAGAAUAUUCUGAGUUGUAAUAAAAAUGUAAGAAGAUGUUUAGAAGGGCAUAAUUCUCUUUUUAACUGCAGUCUGUUUUGAAUUAUCAAAGGCACUAGGGAGAGAGAGGAAGGGGGAGCAGAAAUGAGAUAACUCACGUAAAGAAACAGCACAGGAAAUAUAAGCCAUAUGUAAGCUGGACUAUGAAAAUACACCAACAUACUCACCUUCAAAAACCUUGUAAGCACAUUUCCACAGAGAGCAGAAAUACCUGUAAGCAGCAGUUGGUCUCUUGGGGCCCAGCACAUGUGGCUUUCUCCCUCCAUGGCUGAACCCCAGACAUGGCACUACCCCCACGCUGCUGGGGGAAGGUGGAAACUGGUCACAGGUGACUGCGGGUGACUGUACCAGGACAGCCUGGCAGGUGGCCUCCAGGAAGGUUGCCCACGCCUAGGUGAAGCCACAGCACAGUAUGGAAUGUUUUCCACAUGUGAGGAACUCAGCAGCUCUGGUGGAUGCAGGCGCUCUGUGGUGCACUGGGACUUUCCCAUGCAGCAUCCGCCACCACGUGGGAACGGUGCACAGAUGUUUCCCCCCACUGCCAGAGAGGAUGAGACCUCACCUUGUGACAGGAAGCUGCACAGGACAGGUCUGUGCAAACACACAGGUCCUGUGGAAUAGCUGGAGCCAGAUAGUCGCACAUAAAACCCUUACACACAUUUUGGCUUUUAGCGUGUGGACAUACCCAGCAACAGCUCGACUUCUUGAUAGUGUUAACUAAAGGCUGUUAUUUUUGAGUUUGUGGCAGCUGGGCACUCUUUAAGAAAGGAAAAUAGAGCUAAGCUUACUGGUGACCUGAUUUUAGGCAGCAAUUUCUGUACUCCUGCUCUAUUUUUUUUGGCAUUCAAAAAAUAGCUAUAGCAUAAAAGAGUAUUCUGAAUGCUACUCUCUACCUUCUGCUUUCCAGGAAACCCAAUGCAUGGAUGAGUUCCUGUUGACACUUUAUACAAAUCAUGCUUUUUCUUCCUUGGCCUGUGACUCUCGUACAAAAGAAGCUUCUUUUAUCACUACCUAAAAAUAAAGAACACUAACAAAAUGCCCUGAUCAAAGCAAUUCAUUCAUGAGCAGACUGAUUUUUGCAUGCUGCUACUUUGUAUGUGAGAACCAUUACCCAAGGAGAGAGACCAUGAAUAGACAUAGUGUUUACAUAGUACCAAAGUAUAAGGUUGCUCCUUGUGGGUAAAACAGAACUGAACCCUCAUGAUACACUAACAUGUGCGUGGUAGCUGAUGACACAUCACUGCUGCCUACAUUAGCACAGCAAAGAUGCUUUGUUCUCUGAUGUCAUGAGUUUCAAAUCCCAGCUGGGGAUUUACUGACUAAGCCACAGUGAGCUGCUGUGGCUUCCCUCCCAAAAGGAAAAGAGGAAUAAAAUAGAAUGGCUUUCUGCUUUUGAUUUUGCUUCAGAAAUACUGCUAAGCACUAGGAGUUAUU